CCCUAUUUCAUUUCAACGUAGGGUCUGUUCACGUGUGGUUGUGUGUCGCUAAUUUUAUUAGUCUCACACACACUCGAAAAAAAAUAAUAAACUUUGUCAUAAAACUCUAAAAAAAUUAAAAAAUACAAAAAAAAUCAUAAAAUAACAAAAAAUCCCCAUAAAAAUUGCAAACGGUUUUAGAAACAGAAGUGCAAAAAAGCUGUUUGUGUUUAGUGUGACAUUGUUGGUGUGAUUUGGCUGCAAAAUGAAUCCCAGUGGCCCUAGCUACCCUCUAGCCUCGCUCUACGUGGGGGAUCUCCAUGCGGAUUGUACAGAGGCCAUGCUCUUCGAAAAGUUCUCAUCUGCUGGACCUGUGCUCUCCAUUCGUGUGUGCAGAGACAUGAUUACUCGUCGCUCUCUGGGGUAUGCUUAUGUCAACUUCCAGCAACCAGCUGAUGCUGAACGAGCCCUAGACACAAUGAAUUUUGAUGUGAUGAAGGGUCGGCCGAUCCGAAUCAUGUGGUCGCAGCGUGACCCUUCCCUUCGAAAAUCUGGUGUUGGCAAUGUGUUCAUCAAGAACCUUGAUAAAUCUAUUGAUAACAAGGCCAUGUAUGAUACAUUCUCUGCAUUCGGGAAUAUUCUCAGCUGCAAGGUUGCUACAGAUGAGGCUGGCAAUUCCAAAGGCUAUGGAUUUGUACAUUUUGAAACCGAGGAAGCAGCAAGGAGUGCUAUCCAGAAAGUGAAUGGUAUGUUGCUUAAUGGCGAGAAAGUUUACGUAGGCAAGUUCAUCCCCAGGGCAGAACGGGAGAAAGAGUUGGGAGAGAAGGCUAAACGUUUCACUAAUGUGUACGUUAAGAACUUCGGUGAUGACCUGGAUGAUGAUAAGCUCUACGAGAUUUUCUCGCAAUUUGGCAAGAUUACCAGUCAUAGAGUAAUGACAAAUGAGGAUGGCAAAUCCAAGGGCUUUGGUUUUGUUGCAUUUGAAGAACCUGAAGCAGCUGAGAAAGCCUGUGAGGAAUUCAAUGGUAAGGAAAUGAAUGGGAAGCAGAUCUAUGUAGGAAGGGCUCAGAAGAGAGGAGAACGCCAAGCGGAGCUGAAGAAGAAGUUCGAGAUGAUGAAGAUCGAGCGCAUGAACAGAUAUCAAGGAGUGAACUUGUACAUCAAGAAUUUGGAUGACACCAUCGAUGAUGAAAGGCUUCGCAAGGAGUUCUCCAACUAUGGUACCAUCACAAGUGCCAAGGUUAUGACUGAGGAUGGGCGCUCAAAGGGCUUCGGAUUCGUUUGCUUCUCAACACCUGAGGAAGCUACUCGUGCUGUUACAGAGAUGAAUGGCCGUAUCUUGGUCAGUAAGCCUCUGUAUGUCGCCCUUGCUCAACGUCGUGAGGAUCGUAAGGCACAUCUGGCAUCUCAGUACAUGCAGCGUGUGGCUGGUAUGCGCAUGCAACAGAUGGGACAAAUGUUCCAGCCUGGUGGCACGAAGCUACUUCAUGCCUACCAUGCCACAAGCUCAGCGUUUCUACUUCACCACAGAUGGCUCAGAUCAGGGCAACUCCUCGCUGUGCCAACUCAGCCAACGGCCCAGGUGCGAGCAGGUGCUCAGGCAGCCAGUGCUUUCCCAAUGCAGGCUGCCCCUUACAGAUCAGCCCCUCGCCAAGCACAGCCAGCACCCCCAAUGUCCGUCCUAUUACUGCAGCAGCUGCAACUGCUCAGCAGCAGCAAAUCCCGAACUUGAUGCAAGCAGCCAGGCCUGUUGCACCAAAUGCUGGUGCAGUACCACCUGCACUUUCAUCUGCAGCACGCGCCUCAAACUACAAGUAUACAACCAACAUGCGCAAUCCACCAGCUGUGUCUGGAGGCGGCCCAGCUUCAGCUGCUGCAGUGGCCCCUGUUGUCCAGCCCGCUGUACACAUUCAGGGACAAGAGCCACUCACUCCAUCUAUGCUGGCCUCUGCCUUGCCUCAGGAGCAGAAGCAGAUGCUGGGAGAACGUCUCUUCCCCUCAUCCGCGACAUCUAUCCCGAGCUUGCGGGUAAGAUCACUGGCAUGUUGCUGGAGAUUGACAACUCGGAUCUUCUGCACAUGCUCGAGGAUCGCAACUCCCUCAAGGCAAAGGUGGAGGAAGCUGUGGCUGUGCUCCAGGCCCAUCAGGCCAAGCAGCAGGUCGUGGCUGUUGCUGUUGCUGCUCAGAAGAAGGAGGACAUGUAAAAAUGCCCUACAAGCAAGCAUUCCUCCUAUAUUUUAACAACCCAUUAUCAGUGCUGCAUGUUGCUUAUUUUAGUUUUACAGUUUGUGCCCAGUCAUUGGAGUUUUGAUUUUUUUGCUGUCAUUUGGUUAUUUUUGUUUCAAGGUUAAUUAGCGAUAUUUGUAAAGGACAUCAUUUAUUAUUUGCACGCUGUCUUUUUUUUUUUUUUUUUUUUGGACUCCAAUAGAUGCGGCAUAGUUUAGGUUCGACCACAACCACGUGAACAGUCUGUCAAGUAGGUGUCAUAUAUAUACAAAAAAUCUAAAAAAAAAUCGUAAAAUAUAAAAACCCAUAAGACAGUAGCCUACUAUUAAUGCAGUUGAUUAUAAUGUAACACAUCGUUCAUUAUAAUUAACGCCAACGGCAGGUCAGAACAUUGUCAACCAAGAAUGUUCUAGAAGAGAAUGGGAGUCAGGUUUUAGUUGAUCAGUUCCGACAUGCCUGUUUUAAAAGGUGAAAAAAAUAAAAUAAAGGAAAAAUAAAACCUUAAAAAACUUUGUAUAAAAAACAAAAAUGCCCCACCAUUGGGCGAAAAAUCCGAUAACAGUAACAUCUCUAUAAAACUCUAAAAAAACUUUUGUAACAGUGUGCUACGAAACUCAAGGAAAAAUUGGCAACAAUAAACUUCUGUUUCUAUAACCUUA